UCAUGCCACUGUACUCCAGUCUGGCCAAAGAGCAAGAAUCCGUCUCAAAAAAAAAAUCAAAUCAAAUCAACGUGCCAUCUUAUUGUUUAUCACGAUUCUGUGCGUCAGGAGUUUGGACAGGGCAUAUCAGCAUAUCAGGGACAGUUUGUCCCUAAUCCAUCCCCCGCCCCUACAAAAAAAAGAAAAGAAAAGAAAAAGAAAGAAUCUUCCAUUCGAACCAUAGGGGGCUUACCUGGAGACCCUCCCAUAAAUAAUGAAAGCCACUACCGGCUGUAAUCUUCCAGUAACAAAUAAAAGAUCCCCUAACGUCUCAACUCCAUUUUAAAUCACAGUAAAGUGAUCAUUAAACUAUCUUAUUAAGAAGAAAUUAAUUACCAAAUUAUCUAUAUAGUUCAGAAUGUGUGACUUCGGAGUGAAAAGAAAUAUGUAGAAUUUUUCUCACCAUGAAAAUCUCAAAGUUAAAUGUUAAAGAAGGUGUACUCUAUAUUGUUGAUAAUUCAAGCCCAUCUCCUAAAUGUGUUUUCAUAUGAUCUGUGUUUUCAGCGAUAAAGAAAAGCUAAGUCAAAUCAUAGCCAUGUGAGGAAGCACACACAUCCAUGAUGGUCUCUUGGGUUUUCUGGCUACAGUAUGUUCCUUAAUGACAAUCAGUGAACCAUGGGACCCAUGGCAUAGCCUGGCACUUACACACCUGCGGAGAUCCUGCCAAACUGUGCCGUCUACUAAAGAGUACAGUCAGCCCAUGUUCCAAGACAAUGGGCCAAUUCCACCGAGCUGGGACCUCUUCUGGAAAUGCUUGAGGCCAUGCUGUAUUUAACUUCCCGGGGCCAGGGCCUGCCUGACACUCAGUGGGCACACAACAACUGGAUGAAUGAAUGGAUGAGUCAACAGUGGGGCUGGGGUGGGAAGGUUAUAAGAAGGUAGUGGGAGAAGAUGCUGAAACAGGCAACUAGAAAUGCAUUUCUAAGGACCUGAUAUGCAGAGAAGAGUGGCAAGUGUGAAGUUGUCCUUAAGGCAAUGGGGGGUUAUUCAAAUUGAAUAGAGAAGUGAAGAGAUCUAUGCUUUGGAAAGAUACCUGGGGUGGUUAGAAGAUACAGGUCAUUUCUACCUGGACACUCAAGAAAGGGAGUGUGCAGGGGUGUGGGGAGCGGAGGGGCUGGGAAAGAGCCUCAGGGGCUGAACUCAGCAGCCUGGUUCCAGCGGUUUCCCGAGAAGCACACAUAUAUUUUGUUUUGAGACUCCCAUAUCUAAAACUGUCCCUCUACCCUUUUACUGGAUUAGUAUUUUGGCAGCACACAGAAUUCUAGGCUAAUUAUGUGUCAUCUGAUGAUUCUAAGCUACCAAAAUGAGUUCUGAUAAGGUGAUACAAGCUCAGUGAUACAGUUUUAGCUAAACUCCGAAAAUUUCUUUAAUGUACGUUCCAUCUUCCCAUAAGCACGGCGACCCCACAAGGAGAAAUUCAUUAUCCUUGUUCUAGAAGAGGCUUUCAUCAUUUUUUUUGCCACUACCUUUAAAAUCAGCACUUAGCUAUUCACCCCAAAUCUACCGAUUCCCACCCAUCCUUCACAUGGAUGCUGCAUUUAUGAACAAGUCUGGUCCAGCUACUUCCACAUUUCAACAGGACAAAUUCUAAACCAUCAGAGUAAUUUUCCAAUCAGAACAAAUACUAACAAGGAAGUGACACACAGCAGUCCGUCCUCUGCUUCCUAACAGGACUCUAUGAGAACAUGGUGAUGUCCUACCACAAAGAAAGCAACACCUGAUUAUCAAUAACUUCUCUGGUCCGGCCAAGGAUGAGCAAGGAACAAAGAGCUUUUAGAACAUUAAGCAUACAUCUAAAUUUAUUUGACCUGAGCUACACCGUUGCACAGCUUAAAUAUAAACAUACCUUGCCACAGCACUGUAAAUUACUUGGCCGAGCAACUCUACCCACCGUCAGAAGGGGCAGGAAUGAUUUCAGCAAAUCUGUGGUGUGCUUGCUGCACUAAAGCUGAUUUACACUUCUCCAAAAAAAUAAAAAACCACCAAGAAUCACACUGACAGAAGAUCUCUUUGAGUUUGCUUACUUGGCUUAAAACUGGUAAUGA
rnacentral:lncRNA from 1 species